CAAUAUUUACAUGUUUAUAUUAAUAUUUUGGAAUAGUAUUUAAUAGUAUUGAUAUUUAGGAAUAGUAUUGAUAUUUCAACGAUAUUUUUGUUUGAUUGUUUGCUGUUGAUUGAUUUCUGAAGCUUGUUUUGCCGUAAUUUAGGAAUAGUAUUGAUAUUUACAUGUUUAUGUAGAUAUUUAGGAAUAGUAUUUAAUAGUAUUGAUAUUUAGGAAUAGUAUUAAUAUUUCAAUGAUAUUUUUGUUUGAUUGUUUGCUGUUGAUUGAUUUUUUAAGAUGGUUUUGUUGUAAUUUAGGAAUAGUAUUGAUAUUUACAUAUUUAUAUUGAUAUUGUUAUUUCCAGAUCUAAAGAUAAAAUUAAUCACUCUCUUUGAUCUAGAUCUGAAUCUUGAUUAAUACUUACACGAUUGAUAGUGAUUUUGAAGAGAAAAAGAACAUAAGAUUUUUAUAGUGGUUCCACCCAAAAUUUGUGUACGUCCACUUUAUGUGGUGUAUAUUAAUAGUGUAUAAACUAUUACAUGCAAGAUAGGUUUUGAGUCUUGUUGGUACCAUGGACCGCGGACCGCGGCCCAUGGACCGAACCGGACCGGCCGGCCCAGACGGACGGACGGGCGGACUGGCCCGACAGCGCGAGCCCACGAGGCCCAAUGACAACAAGUGAAGGCUAUAAAUACCUCCCCUGGUCCAACUGGGGACGGGGUUGAUAAUUCUGAGAGAGAGACUUGUACUAGGUUGGACGGUGACCUAGCUCCGGCGAACCCUCACACCAACAGUGGUGAACCUGACGUGAAACAAACACAUGACAGCCGGAGAGAGAAGGAUGACGAGGAGCGAAUACCAAGUAGGGGAGAGCUCUAAGCGACCCGAGCGGGCGGCGGAGGAGUACCUGCCGGCGCGACAUCACUCCCGCGACAGGUAUUCGGAGGAAGUAAGGGCCAACGAGGAUAGACUGCGCAUGGAGCUCGAGGAGAUCAGGUACGGGUGGGAGUCACCCAGGAGGCGCCGGCACAAAGAGCCGGCGUCCCCACCCAAGGUCAGGAG
rnacentral:lncRNA from 1 species